rnacentral:rRNA from 1 species
GACGAACGCUGGCGGCGUGCCUAACACAUGCAAGUCGAGCGAAUGAAGCUCCUUCGGGAAUGGAUUUAGCGGCGGACGGGUGUGUAACACGUGGGCAACCUGCCUCAUAGAGGGGAAUAGCCUUCCGAAAGGGAGAUUAAUACCGCAUAAGAUUGUAGUACCGCAUGAUACAGCAAUUAAAGGAGCAAUCCGCUAUGAGAUGGGCCCGCGGCGCAUUACCUAGUUGGCGAGGUAACGGCUCACCAAGGCGACGAUGCGUAGACGACCUGAGAGGGUGUUCGGCCACAUUGGGACGGAGACACGGCCCAGACUCCUACGGGAGGCAGCAGUGGGGAAUAUUGCACAAGGGGGGAAACCCUGAUGCAGCAACGCCGCGUGUGUGAUGACGUCCUUCGGGUUGUAAAGCUCUGUCUUCAGGGACGAUAAUGACGGUACCUGAGGAGGAAGCCACGGCUAACUACGUGCCAGCCGCCGCGGUAACAC